rnacentral:rRNA from 1 species
UACGUAGGUGGCAAGCGUUGUCCGGAUUUACUGGGCGUAAAGAGCGCGCAGGCGGCCAAGUCAGUCGAAUGUGAAAGCCCCCGGCUCAACUGGGGAGGGUCAUUCGAUACUGCUCGGCUCGAAGACAGGAGAGGGAAGUGGAAUUCCCGGUGUAGUGGUGAAAUGCGUAGAUAGUUGGGAGGAACACCAGUGGCGAAGGCGGUUACCUGGAGCUUUGCUGACGCUGAGUGCGCGAAAGCGUGGG